rnacentral:snRNA from 14 species
GUGCUUGCUUGCUUUGGCUGCACAAACACUAAAACCGGAACAGUAGAGCAGAGAUGACACGGCCCUUGCUUAAGAACGACACACAAAUUUUCAAAGUGUUCUACAUUUCU